UUGUAGACUAGUGACAAGGUGAUUUGAAAGUGUGGAAAUAUUGAAGAAGGAAACUUAUAACAAUCUUCACUGUUUCCUUUCAUACCAGUGAUUUUAUAAGCCUCAGAAUUAUUGACCAUGACUAUUGCAUACGUGAGACCCUUGUUAACUAGUGACGAGGUUAUCUGAGAGUGUGGGAGGAUUGCAAAAAGAAACUUAUGAUCAUGUUCACAGUCUACUUUUAUAGGGCUCAGAACUCUUUGUGUCUGCUUGGUGUCUCAAGAUGGUCAAGGCUUUUCAGUAUAGGCAAAUAAUUGUAGUAUAUGCUUGUCCUUAUGUCCUUAACCUGUCUGCUGCGAUUGGCACGGAUUUUGCCUUCACUGGUAGCCUGGUAACAUACACUCCCAGGUCUUUCUCUGCCUCUGUGGUGGAUAGUGGAGUGUUUCCCCUGUGGUAUUGGUGUGCUGGAUAUCCCUUCACUGGUAGCCUGGUAACAUACACUCCCAGGUCUUUCUCUGCCUCUGUGGUGGAUAGUGGAGUGUUUCCCAUGUGGUAUUGGUGUGCUGGAUAUCCCUUCACUGGUAGCCUGGUAACAUACACUCCCAGGUCUUUCUCUGCCUCUGUGGUGGAUAGUGGAGUGUUUCCCUGUGGUAUUGGUGUGCUGGAUAUCCCUUCACUGGUAGCCUGGUAACAUACACUCCCAGGUCUUUCUCUGCCUCUGUGGUGGAUAGUGGAGUGUUUCCCAUGUGGUAUUGGUGUGCUGGAUAUCCCUUCACUGGUAGCCUGGUAACAUACACUCCCAGGUCUUUCUCUGCUUCUGUGGUGGAUAGUGGAGUGUUUCCCAUGUGGUAUUGGUGUGCUGGAUAUCCCUUCACUGGUAGCCUGGUAACAUACACUCCCAGGUCCUUCUCUGCCUCUGUGGUGGAUAGUGGAGUGUUUCCCAUGUGGUAUUGGUGUGCUGGAUAUCCCUUCACUGGUAGCCUGGUAACAUACACUCCCAGGUCUUUCUCUGCCUCUGUGGUGGAUAGUUGAGUGUUUCCCAUGUGGUAUUGGUGUGCUGGAUAUCCCUUCACUGGUAGCCUGGUAACAUACACUCCUAGGUCUUUCUCUGCCUCUGUGGUGGAUAGUGGAGUGUUUCCCAUGUGGUAUUGGUGUGCUGGAUAUCCCUUCACUGGUAGCCUGGUAACAUACACUCCCAGGUCUUUCUCUGCCUCAGUGGUGGAUAGUGGAGUGUUUCCCAUGUGGUAUUGGUGUGCUGGAUAUCCCUUCACUGGUAGCCUGGUAACAUACACUCCCAGGUCUUUCUCUGCCUCAGUGGUGGAUAGUGGAGUGUUUCCCAUGUGGUAUUGGUGUGCUGGAUAUCCCUUCACUGGUAGCCUGGUAACAUACACUCCUAGGUCUUUCUCUGCCUCUGUGGUGGAUAGUGGAGUGUUUCCCAUGUGGUAUUGGUGUGCUGGAUAUCCCCUCCAAAGAUGCAGGACUUUACAUUUUUCUUCAUUGAAUUGUAGCAGCCACUUUUUGAUCCAUUCCUAUAGCUUGGUGAUGUCUUCUUGUAGGAAAUCCGCAGUGAAGGGGUUAA